rnacentral:rRNA from 1 species
UACGAAGGGGGCUAGCGUUGUUCGGAAUUACUGGGCGUAAAGGGCGCGCAGGCGGCUUUGUAAGUUAGGCGUGAAAGGCCUGGGCUUAACCCGGGAACUGCGCUUAAGACUGCGGAGCUUGAGGAUGGGAGGGGAUGGUGGAAUUCCCAGUGUAGAGGUGAAAUUCGUAGAUAUUGGGAAGAACACCAAUGGCGAAGGCGGCCAUCUGGACCAUCACUGACGCUGAGGCGCGAAAGCGUGGGGAGCAAAC